rnacentral:rRNA from 1 species
GACGAACGCUGGCGGCGUGCUUAACACAUGCAAGUCGAACGGAAAGGCCUUUUCGGAGGUACUCGAGUGGCGAACGGGUGGGUAACACGUGGGUGAUCUGCCCUGCACUCUGGGAUAAGCCUGGGAAACUGGGUCUAAUACCGGAUAGGACCGCACUUUAGUGUGUGUGGUGGAAAGUUUUUUCGGUGUAGGAUGAGCCCGCGGCCUAUCAGCUUGUUGGUGGGGUAAUGGCCUACCAAGGCGGCGACGGGUAGCCGGACUGGGAGGUUGGUCGGCCACAUUGGGACUGGGAUACGGCCCAGACUCCUACGGGAGGCAGCAGUGGGGAAUAUUGCACAAUGGGCGCAAGCCUGAUGCAGCGACGCCGCGUGGGGGAUGACGGCCUUCGGGUUGUAAACUCCUUUCGCCAGGGACGAAGCGUUUUGUGACGGUACCUGGAGAAGAAGCACCGGCUAACUACGUG